UACAGAGGGUGCAAGCGUUGUUCGGAAUUAUUGGGCGUAAAGCGCGUGUAGGCGGCUUAGUAAGUCGGGCGUGAAAGCCCUCGGCUCAACCGAGGAAGUGCGCCCGAAACUGCUGAGCUUGAGUGCCGGAGAGGAUGGCGGAAUACCCCAAGUAGAGGUGAAAUUCGUAGAUAUGGGGUGGAACACCGGUGGCGAAGGCGGCCAUCUGGACGGUAACUGACGCUGAGACGCGAAAGCGUGGGUAGCAAACAGG
rnacentral:rRNA from 1 species